rnacentral:lncRNA from 1 species
CUGGCAGUGAAGUUGCGUGGUUAGAAUAUUUAAAACCCUGGGUUUGACCUGUCUUGCAAAGCCUGAAUGAAAAAGAGGAGUGGGAAUGCUGCUGUGAGGAAAGGCAUCACCACUUGGAGACUUAUCAGAAAUAUUAGUUUGAACAGCUAGUGAGAGGCCAGCACCAGUGUGUUUGAGAUGACCUUUCUGUCCCCCCCAUGGGCAGGGCCAGGAGCACAAAAGAAGCAAGGAAAGUGUUCUUUGAGGAAGGGCUGAGCUGUUUCAGGACUGCUCCCUGGGUAGAAGGCAGGCUGUGCAGAGCCCAGCACUCCCAAAGCUCCUGCUGACAUGGCUCUACAUUGCGAGGUACUGACUUGAUACAAUCUACUCACCACUGGAAGGCAUCUCUUUAACUGGAGAAAGCAGUAUAUGAAAAUGGUGAAAUGGAGCUAUGUGGAGUGAUCUGGAAGGAGCUGUGUUCUCUGCUGGUAGGGUGAUGAGGAGAGAGCAAGUCUCUUAUCUGGCAAGGACAUUUGUACUUGUAGUGCCAGUAUUGUCACAAGGCUGUGCACAUGCCUGGUUUUUUUUACAUGGUGGUUGUGUCCCGCCUUGUGUCCAUGGCUUGUCAUCCAGGGCAGAAAGGAUGGCUUUAAAGGGUGUGCCAGAGGUUCCAGAGAUAAGCACAGUGGUGGAAGUUCAGCCAAUUUUUGCAUGCAACAAGCCUGAUAAGGAAACAAGAGGCAGACACCAGAGAAUUGCUUCAUUAACUACAUUUUCCAUCCUGCUGGCUCCUGUGCACUAGAGAAGUCAAGUGAAAUAAGCAGAUAUAAAUACAAAAUAAUACAAAAGCAAAUGGGAGUUGAAGCUGUAUUAAAUAUGGGAUAAGUGAAAGGCCGGUUUAGAUAUAUUUCUUGUCACUGCUUUUAAAAAGAAGCUUCCAAGCAGACUGAUAGCUCUAGGGGUCGGAAGGUGCUCGGGAAGCAUUUCACCUCUAAGAGCAGGUCUGCACAGCAGGGUUUGGGUGUCAUGGCUUUUAUGCAUGCAGGGAUGUGUUGCCAGUAUUUCAGCUGUGUCCAGCAAGAAAUUCAGGGAUGUUAACAGCUCAGAGAGGGGUUGUGCUAUGUGAGUUGACUUUAGGGAGGUGCUGGGAAAUCUCUGUUUGCUCGGAUGGAUUUAGCCCACUAAUGAGUGUGUCCCUCAACUCUGUCUGCACAUCCAGGACUCAUUGCUACGCUGCUUUGCAAAUAUUGUGGGGAGUAUUUCUGCAUGAGAAUAUUUUAAAUGUAGUGCAUUUUGAAGGCAUUCAUGUGUUCAGGGCACUGUGUGAGUAAUCAGAAAAUGGGAUGAUUGUAGCUGGACUGGCUCAAGUGGAAAAGAAAAUAG